rnacentral:lncRNA from 1 species
GGGGGGGGGCGGGACGCGCAGCAGCGCGGGGGCCGGGCGCAGGCUCCCUACUGCCCUGCCUGGCGCUCGGCGGCCGCCGCUGCCGGGGCGUGCGGCGGAGCGGGCGAAGCGGGAGCGGGGAGAGGAAGGAAGCGAGGGGAGAAAUUAAAUAGGACGAAAUAAAGAAAAGAAAAAAAGGAGGGGGGAAAGAGAGGGAAAAGAGAAGGGAGAAAGCAGAGGGCGGGCGGCUCGGUUCCUCGCUGCUCUCCCCGUCCCCUGGUCGGGCCCCUGGGUCUCUCUGCGCUGCCCUCCCCCUGGCUCGCCCCGUCCGCUCGGCCUCUGGCUCUCUCUCUCCCUCCCUCCGUCGCUCACACACAAACAAAAUGGCGGCUGUUGUUUCUUCACUCUGCCGAGUCCUCGGAGGGAAGCGAGCGGCGGCGGCGGCGGCCGGAAAUGAGCCAAGAGAAAAAAAAAGGGGGCGGGGCCAGAGUCGGGGGGCGGGGCCCGGGGGCGCUGGCGCACACAAUGGAACGCGGGGGGCCGGCGUGCGGCGGCGGACGGGAAGGGCGGGGCCGCAGCAUGGUCACGAGACCGCGCCGACGAGUCAGCGGCCGCCGCUCGCCGGCUUCUUCCGCAAACUGCGUUGGCCCCGCCCCUUAAAGGGGAAGUGCUCAAAAAAAAAAAAAAAACGCUUCGCUUUCCUCCUUCCUCUCGUCACGCACUUUUCUGUCGGCCGAGAAGCGCCCGGCAGCGGUGGCGGUGGCUCGGAGCAGGCCUGCAGCACCGCUAGGCCCCGCCCCACCCCUACGCCGUCAGUCGGGUCCCGCCGGGCCCGGCGCCCGACGUCACUCUCCACAGCCAUAACCCCUCGCAGCCCCUGAGCCAUUUGAGGGCUUAACGGGGAUUAGCGGCUGGCCAGGGGUUGCUCAAACCUUUAAACGCUCAUCAUCUGUCAUUAGCGAGGAAAUGCCCCGGCCCAGCUCCUCUGUGAAGCGAUAAGAGGGGGAAGGAAGCGCGGGGCUGCGUGUGUGGAAAGGCGCAGUUCCUUUUGAUGCGCGCUGUCCGGUUUGGAAGGAAUUAGAGCUCUGUGUGGCGGUUCAUCAAUAAAAGAGUCUCGACAAAUUAUACAUUUUUAUCUUCUGAAGGCCGAAGUGUUGGGAUUUCUACCUUGAACCAGGCAGGGGGAUAGAGACUCACACCUCAUCAUACACGAUCUGUGAGGCCUUCACGGCCUCAGCACCCAACCUCCCCUCACCACCUGCUCUGAGCCCGGACUGAAGCAGGUAUUCAGGAAGAGCCUAUCACAAAAACCAGUGAAUGUGACCAAAAACAGCUGGUAGAGCUUCCCGACCCUCUCACUGUUAUCCUCCAGUUCCCUCACCUACUCCCACCUGUGAGCUUCCCGUAUUUGGGCUUUAUUUCAAGGAGAGCUGUCGUGGUUUCCCUCAGCACCAGAGGGAAAAUGGGAGCAGGGCUCUGCUCAAACAGCUCCAGAAGCGAUCAAAGAUUCGACAUGUCUUAUCUCUCCCGAAGAGUUCUGGAGCGACAGUGUCCAAAUCCAUACGUUUAAAGAUGAAGCUGAAGACAUCUGGCAAAAACAAAACAAACAAAACAACAAAAAACCCAAGCAAUAGGAAACAGUCUGGAGAUGGGAAAGCUUAUUGCUCCCAGAACUAAAGUUGCUAGGGUUAACAAUGACCAAACAGCAGCACCUUACAGUCUGUGUUACGGUUCUCACUGGUUUUUGCCUCCGAUUGCUGCUAAAUUCCCAGAAGUACCCCAGUCACAGAAGUCUUGUAUUACCUCAGUUUAUUUUGUCAGAUUGACUAUUUCCCUUGCUUGUGAAGCACUUUAUUUUUGUUAAGCACAGCUGAGACUAAUUUUAACCUUUUUUUUUUUUAACUUUUUUUAAAGUCCCCUUAGAAUUAAAAGCUGACUGAAAUAAGUCUAUGUACAGUUUUCAGACUCUCCAGAGGCCCUUAAUCCAUACUUCAAGAAGGAAUUAGUGCCAGCUUUAUAAAGAUACCAAGGUGCACGUAAACACCUACGUGCUUUUAAAAAUCUGGCCCUUACUAAACAGCAAGUUUGGAGGAAAGCAGAUGUUUCAAGUUUUGUGACACUCGUCCCUAUCUAGAGGCUUGCUCCUACCAACAGUUGCGUGUAGCACAUAGUUCCACUGAAAUCUUGCUGUACUGCUUGCCAUAGUAAAACUGAGCACGUGUGUUCACUGGAUCACAGCCUAAAAGUUAAGAAACUGGGCAGCUAUUUGCUACUCCAGAGAGUAUCACAAGCAUCAGUUGGUUUAGUUAAGCACUAGAGGAAGCUGACAGAAAAAAACCCAACAAAGUCCUUUAUUUGUGUAGCUUCCUCUCUGUUCAGCCUUAGAACAACUUUAGUGACGUGUACCUGUCUUAUCCAAACUGUGGGAAACAUAUAUCCUUGGUGAGUGCUACCAGACCUGCAUCUAUAUUCUUCACAUUAACGUAUUAAUUGAUACAUUAGUAAAACCAUACCUCUUCCAAUAGAGGUUUCACAGCCAGAAGACUAUGUUAGUUCUUUACAUGUUAGCUUUCCACAUUAGGAAAAUAGAUAUAAGCUGAAGCAUAUGGAAAAUAAAUUAAAAAUAAAGAUGAAAUGCUACUUGUCAUUUUUUUACUGGGAAAAUACCCAGCUCCCUAAAAAAGACAAGGAGAAAAGAAAAAGAAAAAAAAACACAUAAAUAGAGUAGAAAUAAAUAAAUAAAAAAUUAAAAGGGAGAAAGCCUUCAGCAUCUGUUCAUUUUCCUAAAAACAUUGCAGUUUUCUUAACUGAACCUCACUACAGAAGCACAAAACCAACUGUUGUUAAGUGUCAUCUGCCAAAAUGAAAAUAUUUUAAAUUACUGGAAAACAAUAAUAAAACAUAAAGUAUUCUAAAAACCAAACAUGUAGAUCUAUAUGAAUAAAACUAAGAAAAGAUUCAACUAGUAAAAAGAAAACAGCUAUUUUCCAAAGAACAAGCACCUCUCCUCCUUACCUCAGUUUCCACAUCCCCACACUGAGGACAGUAGUACUUAUUCCUUGAGAAAUAAUACCCAGAAGAAUUAAUUAGCUCAUUAUUGCCAGUAAUUACAGUGGUUGUUAUGUGCUUUGAGAUAGCUGGGUGAAAGUACCGUAAGUCUGAUUAAAAUGAGAACCUGCUCAGUAAAGCAAUAAGACGAGGAAUGCGAGACCUUGAACUUUUAUCAUGGGAUCUCAUUUGGUCUUAGCUGGUAGCAGUUGAACACUGUAAGCAUGCCCAGCUGCUCUGAGGGCUACAGGGAAUGAGAUAACAUCCUGUCGUGCUGUGAGAGUCAGUGAAGUGCCCAGAACGUGGUGUCCUAGCAUCGAUAGCACAAGCAUUUCCCCCUCCCAUUGGUGCGUGGGAUGCUCCUAUCUUCUCGUCCCUGUCCCCUUCUAUAGUUUCCAGCUGUUUUCACUUUCUUGUGAGCUUCCCGUGGCUGAUGCCUGUGGCUAGCAGGUAAUUUCUCCUCUGUGCUUCAACUGCCUCCAGCUGCUGCAGCUUCUCCUAAGUGGGAGAAGGAGGAAUGACCCUUGCUUCCAAUGAAAGAGGGGGACCUGUAUGCAGAGGGUCCCUCUUGGAGUGGGUCAGAAGGAUGAGGAAAUGAUUUAAGGCUUCAAUCUUUGCAAGCAAUGCCAGGGCACAGUGAUAUUUCUGGAAAGCAGGACCCAGCUGUGCCUGAGCAGAGAGCGCUGCUCAGCACGGUGUCAAUGUUGAAACCCAGCAACAUUUUGAUACGAGACAAAUUUUAUUAAAACCAUAAGAAGCAACCAGUCAAUAGCUGGUUCUUGCAGCUAGCUUAUACAUAAAAGAAACGCCUGGCUGGCUGACAACAAGCAAAAUGCUUGCAGUCCUCGGCCCCAGAAAUGCAGGCUUCCUUAGUCACACAGCUUUCAAUAGCUGCAAACAGAGUUAUGUUGCUAAAUGUUAAGGGCUCAGCUGUUUACCAGAAGAAUGUUUCCUCCCCGGAACACAUGGUUUUGCUUAAAAGAACUUCUCCAAAACACUUAAUUUCAUUAGCAAAUGCAGCAUUAUCGUCCUAACAAACAUGCCAUACAGUGUCCCUUUGAAAGAGCAAAAAGUGCAGAGUAGACUGCUGGGUUUAGCAGAGGGGCAGAGGUGGACUCUGUGUAGGAAACACCACUGCUUGAAAUCUGGUGAUUUAAAGCUGAUCUCACACUCUGAAAUGCAUUUAUCGUUAUGCAUUGUUUUCAUAUUCUGUUCCACGUCAAAAGCACAAGUGUGGAAUAGCACCAGGAGACUCGCCUGCUGUCCCAGUGUUGGCAAAUCACCAUCUUUCACUCCCGAAGCUCAGCUCUUCCCUUCAGCAGGGAGGUGAUGCUUCCCCUCUUACAUAAAGCACAUUGGGAUCGUUACACAGGAACGUCGGUGCCACUGUUUCUCUGUGACCUCUCUUCUGUCUUCUGAAUGAAAUUGCAUUUAAAUGAAUACAUUUACAGCAGCAGCUGAUUUAUCCUGAAGUACUACAGAGACGAAAGCAAGAGGUUACAGAGCGAAAACAUCAUAUUUUUAGUUAAGUUGCUUUGAGCGUGUGGAUGGUGAAGUGAUGGCAAACGUCUGACCAAUUUGGUCAGCUCAGCACUGUAUUCACAAUGAUCUCCUAAAAAUGAUCUUUAUGCGAUGGAGCUCAAGCUAAUAUGGAAAAUCUGUGCUGAAAGAAUUACAGUGAUAGGAAUGACCCUGAGGAAGCGUGCUGUUCACAUUCCUCUUACUUCUUUUGACUCUGGUAUCCAAUGGGAAACUUCUUGAUAAGCUUUAUUGUGCUGCAGAAGGUAUAAACAAUGUGUUUUGAAAUCUGCUGAGCUUAAACCCUAAACUUAUUUUUUAAUUUGCUUCUGAAUUGUCCCACAGAUAUAAAUCCUCUGUCCAUCCAUGUGCUUAUAAGGAGCAAAAUAUGUUUCUGUUAUGCCUUUUUUUCAUUUAACAGUGUGUUCAUUGAAUUUAGAUUUUUUUUUAUGUACUGCAAUAUUCUAUAUACUGAACUGCAGUCUAUCUCUUGAUGUUUGCAAUCAAAAUUUAAAGUAGGAAAUAGUAACAUUUUUCUGAUUUGCUCAUUUUCAUGCUUCAGGAUAUAAGGUGAUUCUUGCAGUAAGGUCAGGAAGGAAUUUACUCUUCAGCAGAGAAAUGUACUGAAUAGAGUGGUGUUCACUACGGAGGGCAUUGGCCUUCAGACGGAGCUAAUGGGACCCUGUUUUUCACAUGAGCCUUCAUGAGUGCUUUCCUUCUACACAUAGGUAGAAGUCAAUAAUUAACCACAAACACCAAAAGCCAAGUGAUACUAAUGCAACAUCUUGGUGUGUAAAACAAUAAGGUUAAUCAUCAGUUACUUACCUUCCUAAUGCAUUUGGCUUUAUCACUUCUCUUCCCAGAAGGUCCAUCAUGAAUCUUCACGUUGCAAAAUCCAUGAGGUUUUUCUUCUCUCAUUCUCUUCUAUCAAGUGAUGCUGACGUUAGGUGGCCUUGGACUUUAUGCUGUCAUGAGGCCAAGUUGUUAGCAUCCUCCAACUGCCUUGUACAAGGGGCCAUGGAGAUCAGACUCUGAUGGUGUUAUAGCCCUAAAUACUGUCCCACUGCAAAAUUUUAGAGAACUUUUUAAUGUUGUUUUCAUCACGCAGACAUGAAGUGCUUUGUUUUACUUCUGUUAUAGCGGAAGAAACAUACAGAUGACACUGGGGGGACGUAGCAGGCUUUCCCUGGUGAUCAGAAAAGUGAUUUGAAGUUUGAUGUUAAAUCACAGAAUCAUAGAAUGGCUUGAGUUGAAAGGGACCUCAAAGAUCAUCUGGUUCCAACCCCCUGCCGUGGGCAGAUGAAGCACCAGAUCAGGUAGCCCAAGGCUCCAUCCAGCCUGGCCUUGAAUGCCUCCAGGUGUUGUUACUUUAUUCUCAAUACUUACACAAUUGCAAAUAUUUUGCUGUUCAAGAACCAGCUCUAAGGAAGAAAAACUGCAAAGUGGGAGAUGUACAGACGUCAUAAAAUGUUGGAAAGUCCAGAUGAGCCUUUCACCAGCUCACACGAUGGAAGCAAGGAGUAAAUGCUUGGCACAAGGGUGUGGGCCCCAUGAAAGAGACUGGGGCUUGGUGGCUGUGCCUGAGUCAUCACUGCACAUUUACUCCCUUGCAAGAAAAACCUUCGUGACUUAUUUUGGCCGAGGUGGGUGCCAGGUCUGUUGGGACAUGGCCUGCACUGGGCCCAUCCCCAUUCACAGGGCCAAGGCAAGGGCUGAGGCAUGGAAUGAAGGGUGCAUAGCUCUUUUCUGGGUGUUUUAAUUAAACGAUGGAGAGGAAGUCCAAGAAAAUGCCUAAAAAGGCUUGAGCCCUUCCUCCCUAUCUGGAAAUGGAGGCUGGCAGUUGGCCCGGCCACCAAACCCCCCCUCCCCAGGGCUGUAUUUCUCCCUUCUUUCCAAUGUGGAGCAAACAGCCCAUGCUGAGGCGACCAGCGCUCACAUGCCUGCUCUGACAGUAAUCCAUCAUCCCCUGUCCCAAAGCCUGGCCUAGGAUGGAGUGACUGAAGUCUGACAGGGCCCAGUCCUGCUUACGAGCAGAGGGCUGAUUUUAAAAGAGGCUGCUGCUGGAAACAAAACCCAAUUAAAGCCUGCCACUGACUGAAAUUGGCCACAAACCAGGCCUGUAACAGCUUUCCCAGUAAAAAUAAGAAUUAAAAAAAUGGCUUGUUUAUAAUUUUUUAAGCCAGCACAAAGUUCAGGCAAUACAUUCUGGCCUUGUCACAAAGCUAACAGAUAUCAGUGUCUGUAACAAACACGAUUAACUAACUGGAUGGUCAGGAAGGCCACAUCCUGUACUCAUACAUGGUGUGAUGUCCUCUGCUGUAGGUGUAUAGGUCCAGGGCAGCUGACCUCGAUCCUGCAUUUCUGUUACAAAAUCCCCAUGCAUCAUUACAGACCUGGGGCAGAGUGGCUGGAAAGAUGCGUGGAGGAAAAGGAUCUGGGGGUGCUAGCUGACAGCCAGCAAACAUGAGCCAGCAGUGUGCCCAGGUGGCCAAGAAGGCCAAUGGCAUCCUGGCUUGUAUCAGAAAUAGUGCAGCCAGCAGGAGCAGGAAGGUGACCAUCUCUCUGUACUCAGCUCUGGUGAGGCUGCACCUCGAGUGCUGUGUUCAGUUCUGGGCCCCUCACUGCAAGAAAGACAUGGAGGCCCUGGAGUGUGUCCAGAGAAGGGCGGCG